GAUGAAGAACGUAGCGAAAUGCGAUAAGUAGUGUGAAUUGCAGAAUUCAGUGAAUCAUCGAAUCUUUGAACGCACAUUGCGCCCCUUGGUAUUCCAUGGGGCAUGCCUGUUCGAGCGUCAUUUACACCCUCAAGCUCUGCUUGGUGUUGGGCGUCUGUCCCGCUGCUUUGCGCGGACUCGCCUCAAAGGUAUUGGCAGCGAUCAUGCCAGCUUCUCGCGCAGCACAUUGCGCUUCUUGAAGUUCUGGUGGAUCAGCGUCCAUUAAGCUUACCUUCAUGACUUGACCUCGGAUCAGGUAGGGAUACCCGCUGAACUUAAGCAUAUCAAUAAGCGGAGG
rnacentral:misc_RNA from 1 species